CCUACGGGUGGCAGCAGUGGGGAAUAUUGCACAAUGGGGGAAACCCUGAUCCAGCGACGCCGCGUGAGUGAGGAAGUAUCUCGGUAUGUAAAGCUCUAUUAGCAGGGAAGUAAAAGACGGCACCUGACUAAGAAGCCCCGGCUAAAUACGUGCCAGCAGCCGCGGUAAUAUGCCGGGGGCAAGCGUUCUCCGGAUUUACUGGGUGUAAAGGGAGCGUAGAGGGCUAGUCAAGUCAGAAGUGAAAGCCUAGGGGUCAAACUUGGGACUGCUUUUGAAACUGAGUAGCUAGAGUGCAGGAGAGGUAAGCGGAAUUCCUGGUGUAGCGGUGAAAUGCAUAGAUAUUAGGAGGAACACCGGUGGCGAAGGCGGCUUACUGGACUGUAACUGACGUUGAGGCUCGAAGGCGUGGGGAGCAAACAGGAUUAGAUACCCUUGUAGUC
rnacentral:rRNA from 1 species